rnacentral:rRNA from 1 species
UACGGAGGGUGCAAGCGUUGUCCGGAAUCACUGGGCGUAAAGGGCGCGUAGGCGGCUCAUGAAGGCUGUGGUGAAAGUCCGGGGCUCAACCUCGGAUCGGCCGUGGCGACUCGUGGGCUGGAGCACUGUAGAGGCGGGUGGAAUUCCGGGUGUAGCGGUGGAAUACGUAGAGAUCCGGAAGAACACCAGUGGCGAAGGCGGCCCGCUGGGCAGUGGCUGACGCUGAGGCGCGACAGCGUGGGGAGCAAACGGG